CACAAUCUAGUAACAGCUGUCUCCCAAGCUCACUUGGCUGGAGAUGGUCAACAGCUAACAUGCUGAGCUGCUUCUCCACUUUGAGAGGCCGCAGCCUCAGGAUCCCAGGUAGAGAAAGUAUUUAUGAAAGAUUAAGAAGAUGGCUGACUCCAUCCAGAUGCCACAGGCCAUGCUGCAGCAGCCACAUGACUGUCACAGACACCUCAGGGAUGGUCGACCCAGGAGUGACCACCAGCGACCUACCAAAAUCAAGACUUUGUCAAUGGGGGAGAUCUACUGUUUCAUGUUCAGCAACAAAGAUGGCUUCCUGAACAACAUGCCAGGUUUUACUCUGCAGAGGGGCUUUGCUGAUAUUGAGGAGUAUCCAUUCUUUCAAAAUGUGGACUGGGACAUGAUGGAACAAAAGCAGAACACAAACUGUGGUGAAACUGAAGUGGAAAUAUAUGCAAGGACUGUGGACAAGAUAAGAAUUGAAAAUUCAAACGAACAGCACAAAUAGUUGGAGUACAACUGGAAGUGUUAAAUGAACAUUUCAUUAUAGGAAGGCCAAAUAAACAAUCCAGAGGGAGAGGUCACAGAAACAAAAAUAAUGGUAGUCAAGAGGACAGCUAUAAAAAUGUAAGGCAUACCUCUAUUUUACAACUAAGGAAAUGAAAUUCAGAAAUACUUGAUAGCCGAACAAGCUGAUUUUCAUAACAACAACCAAUUUCAACGUAGGUGACAAUACACCACCUAAUGAAUUAUUUCACCUUCCUGAAUAUUAAACAUACUUACAUUUUGUAUUAAAUA
rnacentral:lncRNA from 1 species